rnacentral:rRNA from 1 species
GAUGAACGCUGGCGGCGUGCCUAAUACAUGCAAGUUGAGCGAAUGGAUUAAGAGCUUGCUCUUAUGAAGUUAGCGGCGGACGGGUGAGUAACACGUGGGUAACCCGCCCAUAAGACUGGGAUAACUCCGGGAAACCGGGGCUAAUACCGGAUAACAUUUUGAACCGCAUGGUUCGAAAUUGAAAGGCGGCUUCGGCUGUAACUUAUGGAUGGACCCGCGUCGCAUUAGCUAGUUGGUGAGGUAACGGCUCACCAAGGCAACGAUGCGUAGCCGACCUGAGAGGGUGAUCGGCCACACUGGGACUGAGACACGGCCCAGACUCCUACGGGAGGCAGCAGUAGGGAAUCUUCCGCAAUGGACGAAAGUCUGACGGAGCAACGCCGCGUGAGUGAUGAAGGCUUUCGGGUCGUAAAACUCUGUUGUUAGGGAAGAACAAGUGCUAGUUGAAUAAGCUGGCACCUUGACGGUACCUAACCAGAAAGCCACGGCUAACUACGUGCCAGCCGCCGCGGUAA